rnacentral:rRNA from 1 species
CGAACGGGUGAGGAACGCGUGGACAACCUACCCCGGCGUGGGGGAUACCCGCCAGAAAUGGCGGCUAAUACCGCGUACGGUUGCCGAACGAGAGGUUGGGCAAAGAAAGCAGCGAUGCGCGCUGGGAGGGGUCUGCGGCCGAUUAGCUAGUUGGUGGGGUAACGGCCCACCAAGGCCGUGAUCGGUAGCUGGUCUGAGAGGAUGAUCAGCCACACGGGGACUGAGACACGGCCCCG